GAUGAAGAACGUAGCGAAAUGCGAUAAGUAAUGCGAAUUGCAGAAUUUCCGUGAGUCAUCGAAUCUUUGAACGCACAUUGCGCCCACUGGUAUUCCGGUGGGCAUGCCUGUUCGAGCGUCAUUAUCCUCCCUCACACCCCGGGUUUGGUGUUGGACCCAAGUUGUGUGAACAACUGGUCUCAAAGACAAUGACGGCGUCCGUGGGACCCUCGGUGCAACGAGCUUUUAGGAGCACGCAUCGAGUUGCAAGGACCUUCCGGGCCGGUCUCCUUUACCAUUUUACAAGGUUGACCUCGGAUCAGGUAGGAAUACCCGCUGAACUUAAGCAUAUCAAUAAGCGGAGGA
rnacentral:misc_RNA from 1 species